UACUAAGAUGUUCGGCCGUAUUACACC
rnacentral:sRNA from 1 species